rnacentral:tRNA from 1 species
GGGGCUGUAGCUCAGUUGGCAGAGCGUUUGCAUGGCAUGCAAAAGGUCCGCGGUUCGAUUCCGCGUAGCUCCA